rnacentral:lncRNA from 10 species
CGGAGGUUGCAGUGAGCCAAGAUCGCACCACUGCACUCCAGCCUGGGUGACAGAGUGACUCAGUCUCAAAUAAAUAAAUAAAUAAAUACCCACUAAGCAAUGGGUAUACAUGGACGUACAGAGUGAAAUAAUAGAUGCUGGAGACGACAGAAGGUUGUCGGAGAGGGUUGAAAAAUUGCCUGUUGUGCACGGUGUCACUUCGGGUGAUGGGUGCACUAAAAGCCCAGGCUUCACCACUCCUUCAUACAUGCAUGUAUGAAGUCUGUACUUGUACCUCCUAAAUACACAAAUUUUUUAAAAAUUAAUAAUAAAAAGCUGGCUUAAAAGCAACAGUGGCAGCCAGGCAUGGUGGCUCAUGCCUGUAAUCCCAGCACUUUGGGAGGUCAAGGCAGGUGGAUCACCUGAGGUCAGGAUUUCGAGACCAGCCUGACCAAUGUGGUAAAACCCCGUGUCCACUAAAAGUACAAAAAAAAAAAAAUAGCUGGGUGUGGUGGCAUGUGCCCGUAAUCCCAGCUACUCGAGUGACUGAGACAGGAGAAUUGCUUGAACCCAGGAGCAGAGAUCACGCCACCGCACUUUAACCCGGGUGACACAGCGAGACUCCAUCUCAAAAAUAAUAAAUAAAUAAAUAAAUAAAUAAAUAAAUAAAUAAAUAAAAGCAACAGCGGCUUCCCUUUGGUCCAGAUGGUGCCCUCUUGUGUAAAUAGUGUUGUUAAAUGAAUGCCCAUCAGCUGGAGGACACUCGAUGACACACUGGAAUGUGGAAAGAGCAGGGCAGAUGAAAGAAUCACCAAACACCUUCUGAAUGAGCACUCACAUCAGUCAACAGGAAGCCUCCACUGUACUGUGAUCAGUUUUCGCUUUCAAGUGAUUGACUAUUAUGUUAAUAGAUUAUGAAAUGGAAGUGAUCAAAAAAAAUGGAGGCAUCAGCCUUGUAUUUGAAGUAAGUUUUGUAAGUAAAUCUUAUAAAGGAAAAUGACAGAAUCAGAGUUCUGGAGUAACGGAUGCUCCAAAAUGUGAUUGUUGGCCUGUAAAUUAUCUUGUAUUGUCACGGGUUUUUCAGGCGACAUUGCUGCGAGCAGCAGAAUUGCCUUUUAGGUUUGGAACAAUGGUGUAAACACAACUUCUGGCGCUCUGUUUCAGAGCUGGCCAGCUUCAUGAAAUCUCGCCCAAAAUGGGUAUGACAGAGUUGGCCCAAGGACAGAAACAAGGGUCUACAUCUUGUGUGAGAUCCACUGCGCCAACCUUUCUCAUUUAUACUGUUUUAGCCCUUGAUUUUUAAAUAUUGCAAACGGUUGUAUCAUGUUGAAAAAAAUUCUUUAUUGUCCAGCUGCUCCGACUGGGAGAGGGAAAAGGAAUAUUGAGAUUUUCCAAAUAAAUUGUUUAAUAUUUAACAUGUUGACAUCGCCUUUGUGCUGUUGAGUUGCUAAUGUGACUGGCACGUGAUGUUUUUACUCUCCUUGGCAAAAUAAUUUCUAUCAAAGCUAAUGCUUCCUUAGGCUGUGUGCCAUGCACCUUACUUUGUGCUUUUCGUGGAUUUUCUGAUUUAUUCCUCGCAAGAUCUUCACUGAUGUUGCCCCAUUUUACAGGUGGAGAAACGAGAGGUUUGAAGAAGUUAAGUGACUCAGGUAAUCUUCUAGAAUGCAGAUCUUGAUCCUCUACCUGAGAUGUGAUAGUGUAAGAACUCUAGCUCACACACCAAAUUUUUCUGGUUCAGACCCUGCCCCUACCACUAACAAACUGUUUAACUUUGGGCAACUUAUUUCAUCGCUGUGCCUCAGUUUCAUCCUCUGAGAACCAGGAAUGAUAAUACCUACCUCAUAGGGUUGUUAAGAAGAAAUCCCAAACGCAUCUUUUACAAGCACAUAUAACAGUGUCCAGCCUGUCAUGAGUGUUCAAUAAAUAUGUGCUGUUAUCACUGUUACACUGACUGCCUCUUUGGAGGCAGGGAAACAUUAAGAAGCAAUUGUGAUAAACUAAGCAGGAGCUGGUGAGGACCUGAACUAGGGCAGCCUUUGGAUGGAGAGGAAGAAACAAACCAGAGAGACCUUACAGAGAGAAGCAGUGGGGCUUGAUGCCCAAUGAGAGGGAUUCAGGAUAAAGCCCAUACUCUGGCAUCUCAAGGGAGCACCAGGAUCCCACCCAGCUGUGUGUCCAGCAUCAGCUCCUGCUGAUCCCUACAUCUCCACGCUUCUCCCUUAUACUUAGCACUGUGGAACCACUGGGCCUCCGCACAGCCCACCAAGUGCACCACACUCCCAGGCUCCUGCCUGGAAUGCCUGCCCCGGGCAUUCUGCCUGGCAAGUUCCACUUGUCCCUCAAGUCUCAGUGCAAAUACUCUACACUCUGUUUCUGUGAAACUCCCCUCAUCCCCUAUGCACUUGGAAGUGCUCUCCUGUCCUGUUAUUCACCUCUUUCAUACCGGUGCUGUUGCGGAUCUCAACUACACUCCAGGCUCCUUGGGUGUUCAUCCCCAGCACCUACACAGCAGGUGUUCAGUAAAUGCUCUCAGAGUGAGAUUGCAGGACAGAGGGCACAGACUAACCCUCCCUGGAUGUGACACUUCCGGUGUGGGUUGUUCGGGUUCCCUCUGAUUAUGUAGAAAUGUUGUAAGUGUCCUCUGGCCCAUGCGCCCCUCAGCCUGCAUGUGGUGGUUGGGUCCUGCCACCUCCACUUCUUUAGCUGGCACAUUCAGCUGUGUCCGAGGGCCCACACCUGGUAUUGCUUACUUUUUUCUUGUAAGACCUCCACCAACUGUAGAAAUUGAUAGCCCCUGCUUUGGCAUGCUAAUCAGAAAAUACCUUCUUUCCAAGUUUCUUAAAACUUCCUUCUUUGGGGUAAUGACUGAGGAUCAAUUUCUGAUCAUUAGUACUUGAGCUGGGACAGGUGCCAAGGCAUCCACUCUCCUCCACCAGUACCUGCUUUGAUCUU